rnacentral:rRNA from 1 species
GGAAUUUUGGACAAUGGGGGCAACCCUGAUCCAGCAAUGCCGCGUGAGUGAAGAAGGCCUUCGGGUUGUAAAGCUCUUUUGUCAGGGAAGAAACAGCAGCUCUAACACAGCUGUGAAUGACGGUACCUGAAGAAUAAGCACCGGCUAACUACGUGCCAGCAGCAGCGGUAAUACGUAGGGUGCAAGCGUUAAUCGGAAUUACUGGGCGUAAAGCGUGCGCAGGCGGUUAUACAAGACAGGCGUGAAAUCCCCGGGCUUAACCUGGGAAUUGCGUCUGUGACUGUAUGGCUAGAGUGUGUCAGAGGGGGGUAGAAUUCCACGUGUAGCAGUGAAAUGCGUAGAUAUGUGGAGGAAUACCAAUGGCGAAGGCAGCCCCCUGGGAUAACACUGACGCUCAUGCACGAAAGCGUGGGGAGCAAACAGGAUUAGAUACCCUGGUAGUCCACGCCCUAAACGAUGCUGACUAGUUGUUCGGGAUUUUAUCCUGAGUAACGUAGCUAACGCGUGAAGUCAGCCGCCUGGGGAGUACGGUCGCAAGAUUAAAACUCAAAUGAAUUGACGG